rnacentral:misc_RNA from 1 species
ACACCUCAACUCUCAUGGUCCGCCAUGAUGAGCUUGGACUUUGGGGGCCUUGCCGGCCUAGUGUCGGCUCCUCUCAAAUGGAUCAGCUUGCCAGUGUUUGGUGGCGUCACAGGUGUGAUAACUAUCUACACAUGUGGUUCCUCUGCCAUGUAACCUUCAGUGAUGGAGGUUCGCUGGAGCUCACAGAUGUCUCUCCUUGGGAGGACAGCUUUUGAAC